UGUAAACGAUGACAACAGCGUCGAUGAAGAUCGUUGGUGAUUUAAAUGGGAUUCGUGCUUGAUUUGUUUAGAAAAAACAACUUUACAGUUGAAUCCAGCAGGUGUGUGACAGAUGUUCAGACAAUUGACAAAGCAUUUGGUGACCAGUCUGUUUUUACAAUAACAUGGAAGUGAUUUACCUGAUGUCUUGCGGAUAAUGUUAGAAAUCCUGACAUAAUGGAUAUCAUGAUUUGCUGUAUAUGUCACCAUGCAGUUGAAAACAACCAAGGCUCUAAACUUACAGUAAAAGGAUGCAGUGGAAUAAAUGAUGCUAGCUUGAAGAGAC